rnacentral:rRNA from 1 species
UGGUGGAGUGAUUUGUCUGGUUGAUUCCGUUAACGAACGAGAUCUCGACUCUUCAAUGACAGUGCGAUCGUUCUGUAGUUCAAUGCUCAUUCCUCUGGUUUCGAGUUUGUACGAGAUCGUUUCUAGUACUCAAGAGGAUUAUGCAUGUCUACAAUGCAUUGAAAUGCGAGCCAAUAGCA